GCCCCAGCUAGGCAGGGCCGCAAUCCUGCCGAAAAGCCGGAAACCUUCGCCGGCCUGCUGGGGCACCCGAACGAAGG
rnacentral:sRNA from 1 species